rnacentral:rRNA from 1 species
ACGGAGGAAGGUGGGGACGACGUCAAGUCAUCAUGGCCCUUACGAGUAGGGCUACACACGUGCUACAAUGGCAGAUACAGAGGGCAGCGAGACAGCGAUGUUUAGCGAAUCCCUUAAAGUUUGUCGUAGUCCGGAUUGGAGUCUGCAACUCGACUCCAUGAAGUCGGAAUCGCUAGUAAUCGUGGAUCAGAAUGCCACGGUGAAUAGUUCCCGGGCCUUGUACACACCGCCCGUCACACCAUGGGAGUGGGCUGCACCAGAAGUAGAUAGCUUAACCUUCGGGAGGGCGUUUACCACGGUGUGGUUCAUGAC